rnacentral:misc_RNA from 1 species
UUUGUGUGUGCGAUCUUUUCAUGGUCACAUGCUGUAAAGGUAGCGUAUAUCGAAUCAAGACGAAAUGGGCAUCCUUUUCGGACCAAAUAUAUGAUGAUUGG